rnacentral:rRNA from 1 species
CAAAACUUUACAAUGCUGGAAACAGCGAUAAGGGGACCUCGAGUGCCAGGUUACAAAUCUGGCUGUCGUGAUGCCUAAAAAGCAUUGCAUAGCAAGGGCCGGGCAAGACCGGUGCCAGCCGCCGCGGUAACACCGGCGGCUCGAGUGGUAACCGUUAUUAUUGGGUCUAAAGGGUCUGUAGCCGGCCGGAUAAGUCUCUUGGGAAAUCUGGCAGCUUAACUGUCAGGCUUUCAGGAGAUACUGUCUGGCUCGAGGCCGGGAGAGGUGAGAGGUACUUCAGGGGUAGGGGUGAAAUCUUGUAAUCCUUGAAGGACCACCAGUGGCGAAGGCGUCUCACCAGAACGGACCUGACGGCAAGGGACGAAAGCUAGGGGCACGAACCGGAUUAGAUACCCGGGUAGUCCUAGCCGUAAACGAUACUCGCUAGGUGUCGGCAACGGUGCGACCGUUGUCGGUGCCGUAGGGAAGCCGUGAAGCGAGCCACCUGGGAAGUACGGCCGCAAGGCUGAAACUUAA